rnacentral:rRNA from 1 species
CGCGUAGGCGGCGGGUCAAGUCGAGUGUGAAAGCCCCGGGCUCAACCUGGGAGGUGCACUCGCGACUGGUCUGCUUGAGUUCGGGAGAGGAGCGUGGAAUUCCCAGUGUAGAGGUGAAAUUCGUAGAUAUUGGGAAGAACACCGGUGGCGAAGGCGGCGCUCUGGACCGAGACUGACGCUGAGGCGCGAAGGCGUGGGGAGCAAACAGGAUUAGAUACCCUGGUAGUCCACGCUGUAAACGAUGUGUGCUAGACGUUGGGGAGCGCAGCUCCUCGGUGUCGCCGCAAACGCUUUAAGCACACCGCCUGGGGAGUACGGCCGCAAGGUUAAA